rnacentral:rRNA from 1 species
GACGAACCGUGCGAACGUUAUUCGGAAUCACUGGGCUUAAAGCGCGUGUAGGCGGGCCGGCACGUCCGUCGCUGAAAGCCCCCGGCUCAACCGGGGAAGUGGCGUGGAUACGGCCAGCCUGGAGGGGGGUAGGGGGACCUGGAACUUCCGGUGGAGCGGUGAAAUGCGUUGAGAUCGGAAGGAACGCCCGUGGCGAAAGCGAGGUCCUGGACCCUUUCUGACGCUGAGACGCGAAAGCCAGGGGAGCGAACGGG